GACGAACGCUGGCGGCGUGCUUAACACAUGCAAGUCGAACGGAAAGGCCCUGCUUUUGUGGGGUGCUCGAGUGGCGAACGGGUGAGUAACACGUGAGUAACCUGCCCUUGACUUUGGGAUAACUUCGGGAAACUGGGGCUAAUACCGGAUAGGAGCUCCUGCUGCAUGGUGGGGGUUGGAAAGUUUCGGCGGUUGGGGAUGGACUCGCGGCUUAUCAGCUUGUUGGUGAGGUAGUGGCUUACCAAGGCUUUGACGGGUAGCCGGCCUGAGAGGGUGACCGGCCACAUUGGGACUGAGAUACGGCCCAGACUCCUACGGGAGGCAGCAGUGGGGAAUAUUGCACAAUGGGCGGAAGCCUGAUGCAGCAACGCCGCGUGCGGGAUGACGGCCUUCGGGUUGUAAACCGCUUUCGCCUGUGACGAAGCGUGAGUGACGGUAAUGGGUAAAGAAGCACCGGCUAACUACGUG
rnacentral:rRNA from 1 species